GGAGAGAUGGCUCAGUGGUUAAGCACUAACUAUUCUUCCAGAGGUCCUGAGUUCAAUUCCCAGUAACCACA
rnacentral:tRNA from 1 species